rnacentral:rRNA from 1 species
AAACUUUCAACAACGGAUCUUUUUCUUGGUUCUGGCAUCGAUAAGAACGCAGCGAAAUGCGAUAAGUAAUGUGAAUUGCAGAAUUCAGUGAAUCAUCGAAUCUUUGAACGCACAUUGCGCCCCUCGGUAUUCCGGGGGGCAUGCCUGUUCGAGCGUCAUUA